rnacentral:rRNA from 1 species
GGGGAAUAUUGCACAAUGGGGGAAACCCUGAUGCAGCGACGCCGCGUGAGCGAAGAAGUAUUUCGGUAUGUAAAGCUCUAUCAGCAGGGAAGAAAAUGACGGUACCUGACUAAGAAGCACCGGCUAAAUACGUGCCAGCAGCCGCGGUAAUACGUAUGGUGCAAGCGUUAUCCGGAUUUACUGGGUGUAAAGGGAGCGCAGGCGGGAAGACAAGUUGGAAGUGAAAUCUAUGGGCUCAACCCAUAAACUGCUUUCAAAACUGUUUUUCUUGAGUAGUGCAGAGGUAGGCGGAAUUCCCGGUGUAGCGGUGGAAUGCGUAGAUAUCGGGAGGAACACCAGUGGCGAAGGCGGCCUACUGGGCACCAACUGACGCUGAGGCUCGAAAGUGUGGGUAGCAAACAGGAUUAGAUACCCUGGUAGUCCACACCGUAAACGAUGAUUACUAGGUGUUGGAGGAUUGACCCCUUCAGUGCCGCAGUUAACACAAUAAGUAAUCCACCUGGGGAGUACGACCGCAAGGUUGAAACUCAAAGGAAUUGACGGGGGCCCGCACAAGCAGUGGAGUAUGUGGUUUAAUUCGACGCAACGCGAAGAACCUUACCAAGUCUUGACAUCCCUUGACAGGCAUAGAAAUAUGUUUUCUCUUCGGAGCAAGGAGACAGGUGGUGCAUGGUUGUCGUCAGCUCGUGUCGUGAGAUGUUGGGUUAAGUCCCGCAACGAGCGCAACCCUUAUGGUCAGUUACUACGCAAGAGGACUCUGGCCAGACUGCCGUUGACAAAACGGAGGAAGGUGGGGAUGACGUCAAAUCAUCAUGCCCUUUAUGACUUGGGCUACACACGUACUACAAUGGCGUUAAACAAAGAGAAGCAAGACCGCGAGGUGGAGCAAAACUCAGAAACAACGUCCCAGUUCGGACUGCAGGCUGCAACUCGCCUGCACGAAGUCGGAAUUGCUAGUAAUCGUGGAUCAGCAUGCCACGGUGAAUACGUUCCCG